AUACGGAGGGUCCAAGCGUUAUUCGGAUUCAUUGGGUUUAAAGGGUCCGCAGGCGGGAAAAUAAGUCAGUGGUGAAAGCCUACAGCUCAACUGUAGAACUGCCAUUGAAACUGUUUUUCUUGAGUAUAGAUGAAGUGGGCGGAAUAUAUCAUGUAGCGGUGAAAUGCAUAGAUAUGAUAUAGAACACCGAUUGCGAAGGCAGCUCACUAAACUAUUACUGACGCUCAGGGACGAAAGCGUGGGGAGCGAACAGGAUUAGAAACCCCAGUAGUCC
rnacentral:rRNA from 1 species